UGGGGAAUUGUUCGCAAUGGGCGCAAGCCUGACGACGCAACGCCGCGUGGAGGAUGAAGAUUUUCGGAUCGUAAACUCCUGUCGAAUGGGACGAAAAGAUUGCGGGUUAACAGCCCGUAGUCCUGACGGUACCGUUAAAGGAAACCCCGGCUAACUCCGUGCCAGCAGCCGCGGUAAUACGGGGGGGGUAAGCGUUGUUCGGAAUUACUGGGCGUAAAGGGCUCGUAGGCGGCCAACUAAGUCAUACGUGAAAUCCCUCAGCUUAACUGGGGAACUGCGUGUGAUACUGGAUGGCUUGGAUUUGGGAGAGGGAUGCGGAAUUCCAGGUGUAGCGGUGAAAUGCGUAGAUAUCUGGAGGAACACCGGUGGCGAAGGCGGCAUCCUGGACCAAUAUUGACGCUGAGGAGCGAAAGCCAGGGGAGCAAACGGG
rnacentral:rRNA from 1 species